UCUCUAUGGAUUUGAUACACUUUGUGGCUUUUUUCCCCUUUUUGACAAGUGAGUUGAUAUACUUGGUGAAGCUCUCCGGACCAUAAAAUAUGUGCUGCAGUGGCAACCGUCUCUGUGAUCUGGAUCACCAGUUAUGGAUUUCGUCUCUAAAAUUCAUGCAUUGAAAAAGGGAAAGAAAGUGGCAAAAUGAAUAUGCAGCUACAAAUCCCAACAGGUUGGAUCAUGCCAAAGAUGUCAUCGGCAUGGUGCCCACGAGCACCAUGGAUUUUUCAUGUCACGAAAACCAACUAGACAUAAUAUGCCACUCAAUCUAAAAAUCAUGACAUAAUAUAAAUAGAAGCUAGACUAAGUCAAAGCUGUCAAUGGUCCCAACCUGUACGCAGUAAUUAUUUAUAGAAUUGAAUGGCUUGUAAGUUUGGCAAUUUACUUUGCCCCAUUGGGUACCCGACGCAGAUGGAAUAGGUUUUACCCAGCCUGCAAUGGAUCCAAGGUAACUACUGGCAGUGGUAAAACUCGCUCCGAACCUGACUCGGAUAUAUAUAACUCUUCACAAUUCCUCUUCUCGAGACAAAAAAUGAUUUGUAUGAAAAAAAAUGUAACUUUGCCCAACCUGAUCCAUCCAACCCACUUCGUUUAAUUCUACCCCUACCAUCCCACCCCAAGACUCUACUUGCCCCGCCCUAGCCCAAGGCAAGUAUGGGGCCAUUACAGGUAAUGGCCUACCCGAUCCAUUGCCAUCCCUAAUGGUUUGCAAUAAAGACCAACACAUAAAGAGAGAGAGAGAUAGAGACUACGUAUUAAUUGCAUCAUACUGAGGAGGAUCAUCUAUCUUAAACUUCUAAGUCUUAAUUAUCCUGAAUUAUACAAAUGCUACAGUAUAACAAGAAAGGAUCAUUGUGCCAAUACAGAGGCCCGUUAUUGGUUGGCUGGUGGCACAGUUCGUUACACACCCAUGCCUUUCCAUCCUGGGCCCAUACUGGCACAACAAAGAAGGCAAGGAAGAGGGAGAAUGGGGGGGGGGGAGAGAAGGGGGGAGAGGGUGGGUGAGGGGAGAGGGGAAGUAGGGAGGGAGAGAGCGAAGGCCAGCAGAACGCACCCUGACAUGGCAAAGAGAGUGGGAGAGAGGAAGAAUAUGAGAGAGGAAAAGAGAGAGAGGAGGGGGGGGCAGGGAGAGAGAUGGAGGCCACCAAAGGGCUGCAGAGUGGCACGGAGGGUUGGAGGGGCUCCACCCUCCAGACCCCCGUUUCGAACGAAACAGGGGUUCGUCGAGGCUCCUUUAUUCAUUUUACAAAUUUUAAAUGAAACCAGUAAUCCCCUUGCCAACUUUAUUUAAUAUUUUCAAAAAUAAAAAAAAUUAUUUGAAAAAUGUUAAGUGAAGUUGACAAAGAGAUUGCUGACUUCACUUCAAAUCUGCAAAAUAAAUAAAAGGCCCCGACGAACUCCUGUUUCGAAUAAAACAAGGGUCCAAAGGGCGAAGCCCUUCCACCUCUCUGCACCCUCCUGAGCCCUCCAACGACCUCCAUUUUCCCUCCCUCCCUCCCUCCUCUCUCUCUACCUAUCUCUCUUUUCUUCUCCCUCUCCCAUCUACUAGUUUCUUGUUUUGAAUGCUAAAACUAUCCCAAUCCGCUGCCAACAUAGCUCGAUAUGCCCCAAAUUGGCACUUUGGGAUAGUUCCACAUUCCUUGACAAUAAUCAUCUCAAGCCCUUGAUUGGCCCUACUUCCGCAAUGUAAGGCUGAAUUACUAAUUUCUUAUAAAGAUAUAUCAUAAGAUCUGAGGGCUAUGACAAAGGAAAGAAACAAUUUACAUAGCACAUGGUUCCAUGUUGUAUUCAUAAAUGCCAUACAUGGCAUUGAUCAAAAUCCACUAAUUGGACCCCUAAUUAAAUGGUGCAUGUUAAUACAUGUUAAAUACCACCAAAUCAACAUGUCAAUCUUCUAAUGCUUUAGGGACUCCAAGAUGUAAAACCUAAAUAAUAUUGUGUUAAAGUGAUGCCACCCAUAACUCAGACAUAAGUACUCUAAGGUGAGAACUCACAAAUAUGAAAACACCCACUAAAUAAGCAUUCUAAAAGGCAUGAUCUAUGCAUCACAACAAGAAUAUAGUAUGAUGCCAUUCAAUUUUCAGCUAAAGUAGCUGCUGAGCCCAUCGGUAGUUGCUCUAGCCAAACAACGGGUGGAAAAGAGACUCUAUGAUACCUCUUAUUGUCAUUGAUACCUCUUAUUGUCAUUGAUACGAUGGAUAGAUAUCCUCAAGUUACAUAUAAGGCAAGAUUUAGAAACUUGUAUAUACUAAUAAACAUCUCUACUAUUUUAUGAUUUUAUUGCAAACUCUCAGAUGAACAAGUCCAACCCUCAAGUUCAACUCCACCACAAAAAGGAGAGAGCAUGCCUCUUAUCCCGCAUGCUUAAACGUGAUCAAGUGGCUCUACCCAUCUAGAGGCUAUGAUUGGAACUUUACUCUCCUUUCAAGACCCUCACUGUUUUACCAAUAGGAAAAAGAUAGAGCACUAGAGCCAUGGUUUCAAAACAGCUGAAACAAGACAGUACGAUUGGUAUUUUACCAUUCCGACACAAUCUGAAAUCCUAUGCAUCAAUUUGUACCAGUGCAUACCAACAAUACCGUACUGACCAUACCUGUGGGUAUUAACUUUUUAUUUUUUGGAAGCCGUUAGAUUUUAUACAUGUCAUCGGAACCGGUACCAUAUCAAUAUCAUACCAUCUCGAUGGAAAAAUAUUACAGGGUUCCAUACCAAUAUUUAAAACCUUAAUUAGAGUGCUUAUCACCAUGUCUGCCCUACCAUGAUUGAGUAUCACUAGCCAUCUAGAGCCGCAAUUGGAACUUUGCUCUCCUUCCAAGCCCAACAUGAGAUUACACGCCACUAAUAGAAUCUAUGCAGCUGACCAUGUGCAUCUCAUGAGAUGCUAGCAAAUAUAUUCCUAAGCCUUAUUUUGAUUAAGAAAAGACACUAGCUUUUCUUUAAACAUAGAAUUAACCAUCAACUAAAAAAAUUAACGAGAUCCACCUUAAGUUUUAACUUGAACACAAACUCAAAAGAUACCCAGUUUUCUCAAUUUAGCACUUUUAAGAGCAAAAUUACAGAUUGACACAAAAGACAAAAAUCAAACUCAAUUUCGUCUUCAAAAUUUGUAUAUUUUUGAGAUGCAUACACCAUCAGAUAUAUUUUCAUUUCCUUAUAUAUUCAUAUCCAUAUUAAUGAAUCUAGAUCAUGGACGGCAGAACCAUCCUAAACUGUUUGGUUCGGGGUGUGCCAAGUCAUACCAACGGCAAACCGGGACAGUUCCAGCAACAAAAAUGAGACCAGCAGCAAAGGAAAAGGGGCAGAAGGAAAGAGAGGAUGGGAGGGGGGGGUGGGGGAGAGGUGCUGUGAGAGGGAGAGAGGGGGGGGCUCGGAAGCCCUCCUCCCCUCCAAUGCCUGAGCCCAUGAGCCGACUUCCCUCAAAGAAGCCAAAAAUAAUAAGAAAAGGGGUCAAACCCAUGUUUUGUUCAAAACAGGGCCCGACCACCGGAGGAGAGGAGAGGGCUUGCCUCUCUCCCUCCUUCUCUCUUUUCCUCUCUCUCCUCCCUUUUCCCUUUAUUUUUUUCAAUUUUCACCGGGAUGGGACGGCAUGGUACCAUACCAUACUACCAGCCUACCGGCAUGAGUACUGAUUCUGGUACUGCAGACCUUGAUCACAUAUAUUAGCUACAUAUUCUAAUUGGAACCAAACACAUAAAUGAUACAAACUUUCGACCUUAGGUAAAUUCUGCAUAUGUAAAUAAAACGAAAACCAAAUACAAAUUUGAUAUGUUGUAGAUAAUAACAUAUCCUAAAACAAAUAUCCUACAGAACUUCAAAAUUUGGUCAAAAAACUUUCCUUUUCACCUCCCUCUUUUUUCAAGACUUCAUCCAGCUCAUAAGCCUCAAAAUUAUAAAUAUGACAUUAAAUAUGAAAAUUAUCCAUGUUUUUUAUUUUUUUUUAUAAUGUCACCCACUAUGCAAAUAAUAAACUCAUAUGACCAAUAAUGGAUAUCACUUCCAACUUUUGGUUCAUAAUAAACUCAUAAGACCAAAUAAUGGGUAUGACUUUCAACUUUUGCUUCAAUGAUUGUACUCUGUAUCUAAUAACAAAUGCUUUGAGUGGAUAACCCAUAUCCAGAACAUAAAGCAAAAUUAACGUUGUCAGUAUACAGUCCUCUUUUUUUUUUUUGGAAAACACUAUGACAUGCAAGCCCAACCACAACAGAAUUAAAUCACUACUUGAAAUACCUCAACAUCACCCGACCCUCCUCUCAUCCUCUAAACCUUCCUAUUAGUAAAGUACCCUGAUUUUAAGCAUUACUUAUAUAAACAAGAAAUAUGUAAACCAUGGUUAUGGUGCAUAAGUAUAUUUUUCAAUCUUAUUCAGAACCAUGCAGAAACACUCAAAUAUAAUAUCAGUCAAACAGCCAAUAGCCAGAUUUCAAUGUAAUCCCUCUAGGUAUCAUGCCUUAUUUAAUUUCUGUGACUAGGGAAUAAGGAAUUUUUGGGAAUAUAGUAACAAGAUCACAUACCCAUCCAUGCUCUCCUUCGCCGGCCAUACAUAAACGAACCUAAUAAAAUUUCAUACAAACAGAAAAUAAAUCUAUCCACUGUCACCAAGAAUCUUUUGAAGGAUGGCUUGUAUAAGUGGAGCCUACUCAUAUGCACAUAUGAUAAGAAAACUGCAGAACUAGGUCAGCAUUGACCUAAAUAUUCUGUUAGAAGCAGGAAAACAAAUCUAACCAUUGCUGAAUGGAUACAUACAUAGAUAUUUCAUGAAGCUAGAUUCUAUAAAGCAAAUUAUCAAAAAAUAAUGAAAUUUGACAGCUCUAAAUCUGGCUACUUUAUACAAAUAAAUUUCAACUAAUAUGAUACAUCAACACUUGAGAGAUCAAGUAAUUUUGUGAUAAUGAAAUCUAAAAGGCACGGAAGAAUGGCCAUCUAAGAGGCAUGUAAGAAAAAUGAUUGCAUCUGUUGAAAUAGAUGUCGGAUAAGAUUCUUACUGUGGAUGAAAUCUACAGCUCGGCUGAUAUCCACAAGUGAAGGGGCAAAAAGGUAGUCUCUUGUUGGAAUCACUAGAUGAUCAAUCCCAUGAGCCUGCAAACAGAUAAACCAGGUAUAAGCCAUACAUAACUUUGACAAGAAAAAUGACCGACCUCCCUUAUACAAACACAAGACACCAGGUAAUCUAACGCCAGAACCUUCUAUUGAUGCAUUGAAAUAGUUGAUCUUUACCAGGGUUCUUUUCUGAAGCAAUGAUUAUUACAAUACAUGCAUAAACUUGGAAUUUUAUGUAACAUUAUUUCAUCAAUAUGGCCACAUGAUUUUUCUUUCUCAGUGAGCCCUUUGUCUGACAAGAGGAGACUAGUCAGAUCACCCUUUGCAUAAAGGCAGAGCUCUAUAUGGCACAGCAUUGCAAUAGAGAAUGCAUAAAUUGUUGGCAAAUGAUUAACUUAAAGUAUUAAACACUAAAAGAAAACAUUUACCUGAUAUAAGGAUGACGGAACUAGGGUUUCAUAUGGUUCAUUUAGGGUGAUGACUCCUCGAACCCCAAGCUGCUGAAGGCGGGGUACAUCUUUGGGAAAUGGAACAGCGCCAAGCAAAACGAACUGAAAAAAUGGGGAAAAAGCAGACUUGCUGAACAUCAGUUUAUUUUCUGCAUAUGCAGCAAUGAGUAUAACAGCUAAAAUCACCAUUGCACCAGCAUAAAAUCAAGGGCAUGACAAUACUGAAAAUCCAUUUUCUUGGCAGUCAACUGAUUGACUUCCAAUAAACAUAUUAACUAAGACGAUCUAGUAAAGGAUGUGUUUCAUGAAGAAGUUGCCGUUGAUCCUUCUUUGUUUACUAGCAGAUCAUUUAUAAAUAUCUACCUGGAAUUCAUAAUCCUACAAAUAAGCCAAAAAGAGAAUAACCAAAAAACAUCAAGUAGAGAGUAUGUCUUGAGGCAUGGCAAGAUGCAUUGAUGGUUUUUUGAUUUCUGAAGCCUUAAAAGAAAAGAUUGCCAAAGUUGGCAUUUUGCAUAGUGUUUGUUAUUUCACGCCCAUUUUGGAAUAAAGCAAGAUAUGCAAAUAGGAUUUUGCACUUAUAAUUAUAAUCUGGAUGAAGUUUUAAACAGAAUAAAGGAAAUGUAAUGCCAAGGGUUCUUAUAGGGAACAUUUGAAAUGCAGGAUGAAAAUGAUUUAGAUUAGUUCGUGGGAUGAAGAUAUUCCAGGAGGCCUAUCACCAACCAACGUGCCCUUUUUGUCUUUUUUUUUCCCUCUCUUUUUUAUUUUUGUGUUUUUCCUUUCACAGCUCACAGGAUAGAUACCUGUGUUAGGAUGAACAAGUGAUGUCAGCACUAUGACCAUGGAGAAAAUAAUCAAUCGGCAGAAGGCUUAACAUCAAACAGCCCACCAUACACUAACCAAUGGGGCCAGCUGCAUGGAUCUAAACGUGAUCCAUUUGUUUUGUGAACUAAUAGCCAUAGAUAAGAGACAUCAACAAACAGUCACAAGAUUGGUGGGAAACUUUGAUAAUUUGCUUAUGAAGGAAAUGUUUGCUAGGAACUAUGUUACAUCAGAUCACCAUCAAGGUAUUAAAAAAGUAUCCAUGGCAUGCAUAGUCCAUUAACUUUGCAACUGAGCUAGCACUUGUAACUAUAUGAAAUAGAAACAGAACAGCAAGAGAUAAAGAUUGACUAUCUGGAAGGUUUUGGGUAAGUAACCAUCCGCUAGCAGGGAAUUCCAAAGAAUGUAUGGAUAAUGCUGUCAAAGUGAAACAAGUUUUGCAUGAUGCAUUGAUAACGCUAUCAGAAGUGAAACAAGUUUUAUUUUGCAGAACAAUAUGAUGGCAUAGGACUGAAUUGAUAUUACUUUUAGAGGUGGCAAAAUGCGACCCAACCCGUGUUCGACCCACCAUAAACGAGUUUGGGUUAAACGGAUUCAAGUUGUAAACAGGUCGACCUGCUUAACGUGUUUGUUAUUUGGGUCAAGUUUGGGUUCUAACCUUCUAUCCUAUUUAACUCGUUUAUUAUACAAGUCGGGUCGGGUCGGAUACCCACUUAUGCUUGUUAUCUUUAAACGAUGGCCCCCUUUCACGGUUUGACCAUUGGUCCAUCGCAGGCUUAGGACCAUUUAAAUUUUAAACUCCUAUCACUUCACCCACGUGGUCCAUAGCCUUGUGCACAGAGUAGGGCAGAGUUCCCUUUUUUCUUCGGUUUUUUUUUAGGGGGGGGGAGAGUGGGGGGUAAAAAAGUCCAAUUUCUAGAUAUUUCUAAGGCUCCAAAUCACCAUUUUUGGCUUUUCCCUAUCUGUCUUCCUCUCUUGGUUCCAGAGGGCCCUCCCCACCCCUCCAAAUCCUUUACAUUGGUCCCUUUACCUCCCCUCAAAUCCCCUUAAUAAAUUACAUAUAUAAAUGUAUACCCGUUCUUUCUAUUCGGUAUCGGAUCGAUGGCAGUGCCAACAAUAGAUUCAACCCACCGCCCCACCGAAAAACACCCCGAUGCCAACGGUCAUCCUGAACCAAAAAGAGCCCAACAAUGAGUGGUACACGUGGAGUGGCGGCUAGCGGCAAGGAGAGGUAUCGUAGGGGGUGACACAGAUCUUGUGCUGGGGCCGCCAGGAGUUGGCAUUGCAAAGGGCGGCAUUGAGGGCAAGUGGUGGCAGAGGCGGUGCUAUGCCUCAUCGCUUUCUCCAUCCUCACCAUUAACCAUAGCAAGGGCUAGGCCCUUAAUUCUUAUUACCACUACAAGCAAUUUCGGUACCCGCCCCCCCUCCUUGAUUUUUCCUUUUUGCCCGUUAGAUCUGACAGUCCUAAUGAGAGGUCUCUUCCUUGAUCAAUUAGCUUUUCUUUCCAAAGAAAUUUGUAAAUCUAAUGGGAUGAGUUCAGGUAUUGCAUGUCGGUGAAUGUGAUUAGGUUCGUCUACUCAAGAUUCCAGGUGUACAUGCAAGUUCAUCACAUGAUGAAAAAGAAGAACAUCAUCGACCGUUCAGUUAGGGACUACUUCGACUUCACCAUGGAUCAGGUAAACAGCUUUCCAAUUUUGAAAGCCUUCUGACAGGUUAAACAGGUAUAAAGCUACACAAGUUGACCUGACCUAUUUACUAAACAAGUUAAGCAGGUCAAAUCGGAUAACCUAUUUGUGCAAAUUUAGGUUUCAAAUCCUAAUCUGUUUAAUAAACAGAUCAAGUUCAAGUUAGACCUUUUUUGACCCAACCUAUUUAUGAUCCGAUUUGACAUGCUUGCCACCCCUAAUUACUUUUGGCGGCCCCUUGUCCAAUAUCAAUAUGUCAAUCAGGCCCAAAAUUGUGCAUAUCAUUAACUCAAGGCAAGAACAUCUUAUCACCCGAACAUAAUUAUUAUCAUUAAUUUUUUUGAAGAAAAGGCAUGUUGUGUCGCUGAUGCCUCUGAUCAUCACAACAAAAAAACAAAGAAAUUAAAAACACAAUUUAUGAUUAGCAUUAAAGAAUUGCACCAUGACACAUAUAAUCUUCCAACAUGAAUGAGGGAAACUAUUCGAAAAUAUAGAGCUGCCAUAUCUGCCAUAUUCAAAAAUACACAUCUGCCAUAUCCGCCAUAUUCAGAAAUAUAUAUUUGUAUAAUCUGCCAUUUAGAUGAUAGCCAUAUUUUUAAUCCUGAUUUCUAGACCACAAUUACAUCAUUGGCAAAUUAGUCAUUUUAGGAAAUUUGUUACCUCCUUCAUAGAUUAGUCAUUUUAGGAGAUUUAUUUUCUCCUUGGCAGAUUAGUCAUUUUAGGAGAUUUGUUAUCUUGCUUUGAGGCCUAAUUCACAGCAAGUCUCUUGUAUAUAUUUUGAUAUAUUGGUUAUUGCAAAUCAAUGAGAAAUCAUCAAGUUCCAAAAUUUACAUGGUAUCAGAGAGGGUUCUUCUAUCCUAAAAUUCGUUAGCCAGUAACCAUGGCCGAGUUUAAGGUCAGGGAUACGUCAUCGCGGCUUGUGGGAUAUCCAUCCAAUUGGGAGCAACGGAGGAAUGCACGAGGGAGAAAAGAUGGUGGAACAGCAGUUGUUGCUAAUGCUGUCCAAACCAGCACAAAGCCCAAAACGUGGCACCACAGGGCUUCACUAAUGAGCAAUUUCAACAAAUUUUGACUCUCAUCAACAGCCCAAAGGACCCCACGAACUAGCUUGCAGAUGAGAAAUUUCAAUCUGUCAAUAGCGAUGUAGCAUGGAUUCUCGAUAAUUGGACAUCCGUGCACAUAACUGGGAGAAUAGAGUUAUUAACUGAGCCCAAAAAUAUCAAUGGGCCGUGCUUCGUACGGAUACCCAAUGGCGAAAUGGUCAAGGCAACUAAAAUGGGUCAAGUACACCUGGGGCCCAAAUUCAUUCUCGAAGAUGUUUUAUAUGUCCUGAAUUUCACUUGUGGCCUUAUUUCUAUUGGAAAAUUGAUGAAUGACUUGAAUUGUUCAAUGACACAUUAUUCUACAUUUUGUCUUUUACAGGACCUCCCGAUUCGAGUGGGUGAGCUGCGAGGGGUCUACUAUUUUGGACGUGUGGCAGCCUUAUCCACUUUCCCAGUAAUCAAGAUAGAAAAUUAUGAUAUUUGACAUCAACGGUUAGGAUAUCCAUCACGUCAAGCUUUACCUUUCCCUCCUGGAAUUUCACUAAAUAAGAUUGAGAAUAAUUUUUGUGAUGUAUGCUGUCGUGCUAAGCAAACUCGAACAUCAUUUCCUAUGAGUAAUAAUAAGACACCUGCUUGCUUGAAUUUAAUACAUUGUGAUAUUUGGGAUCCCUAUCAUACAUCUUCAUUGUCGGGUGCACACUAUUUCCUCACCAUUGUAGAUGAUCACAGUAGGAGCACGUGGAUAUAUUUAAUGAAAGAAAAAAGUGAGACUCAUAGACAUCUGAUUGGCUUUUACAAUAUGGUAAAAACACGGUUUGGUCAUGCCGUAAAAAUAAUCAGGACCGAUAACGGGCAAGAGUUUAUUUCCAGAUUGAUGCAAGAUUUUAAAUUGAGCAAUGGGAUAAUACAUCAAACAUCCUGCAGUCCACAACAAAAUGGUAGGAUCGAAAGAAAGCAUCGUUAUAUUCCUAAUGUGACUCAUGCUGCAAGAUUCUAGACUUGUCCACCUAUCAAAUUCUGAGGUGUGUUCUAACGACCGCAUACUUGAUUAAUUACACACCCACACCAUUAUUAGAAGGAAAGAUGCCCUAUGAGGUCAGGUUCCGACAAAAACCGCAAUAUGACCAUCUAUGUAUAUUUGGUUCUCUUUGUUACACUCACCGAAAAGCGAGAAAUAAAGAUAAGUUUCUUGAACGGGCUAGGCAGUGCAUUUUUAUAGGGUAUCCCCAUGCCAAGAAAGGGUGGAAAAUGUUUGAUCUAGAGAUGGAAGAAGCAUUCAUAUCCCAAUAUGUGAUCUUUCACGAAGACCAUUUCUCCUUCAUGCAAAAUCUCAAAUUAGAUGAGCCUGCACCAGUCAUGCCUCUUCCAACUGAAGUAGAUUAGCCAAAUUCUCUGAGGGAUGUUGAGCUGAAAAUAAGCCCAGGCGAGCAGGAUUUCAAUGAGGGCACUAAUAGGGCCGAUCAAAACAGGCCUUUAACAAGCCCAACUAAUCCGAACAAGGGGAGUUUGAGCGGGUCAGACGAGCAAGGCCCAGUUGAAGGGAAUGAGCAGGCCACAGCUGAAAUGGGCCAGGACGGGAAGUAUAACCAAAUUUUCAAUCCAAAGCUCAUCUUCAAUCAGCCCAAAUAAAAAUACAAUAGAGGCUAGGUGUCCACAACGAGAUAGAAGGCCGCCAACCUAUUUUCGAGACUUUGUUUGCCACACCAUCUAACCCAAUGAUCCCCUCAACUGACCACUCCCAUGAUUUCCUCAUGUAUGUCCCACCCCAUUGAAAAUUAUGUCACUUAGGUUGCAUUUGGUAGCUGGCAAUCUAUCCAGAUUGCUGGCAAUUUAAUAUGGUAAUCAGGAUUACUGCAUUUGAUAUGAUUUUUAGAUGAUAAUUCAGAUUACCUUGGCAAUCUGGAUUGCCUCAUAGGAGGCAAUCGGGAUUGCCUUGGGGAGGGGUGGCUAUCAAGAUUACUACUUCUUUAGCAAUAUUGCAAUAAAAAUUUUGGACAAUUAUUCUUUAAAAAAAUCACACAAAAUCCAUUGUCCAGCCCUCCCUUCUCUACCCCACCCCCUCUGCGUGCACCUCCGGCCCACGACUCCACCCUUAUCCCCCAUCAACCCCCAUGGCUCCUCCAUGCCCGUCCCCACCACCCCCAUGACUCUACAUAUGCCCACCCUCUCCCCACCCCCCAGUGCCAGCGAUUCCCCACACCCCUCGACCCAGCAUUUUUUCGUGCCACCACCAUACCCACAUUACUCCCAUUAAUUCUCAUCAGGAAAAAAGAAGAGCACCAGGACAAAAUUAUUGAAAAUAUUUUGAAAAUUUGAUUUUACAUUAUCGAUAAUCUGAUUGUCAUAACAAACAUAUCAAUCAAGAUUUUCAGUAAUUUUACUGCAACAUUACAUGUGUGUACCAAAUACAGUAAUUAAUAUUACUAACAAUUUAAUGGUGGCAAUCUAUCCUAAAGGCAAUCCACAUUACCUUCCAAAAUUGUCUGGCAAUGCACCAAACGCAACCUUAUGAACAAUUGUCAAAAUCUCAUAAAGCCUCUGUAGUUGCUCUUGAUUCUUCUAUUGAGCCCAGGACAUACUCUCAAGCUGUGAAAAACCCUCACUGGCGUGAAGCAAUGGCUGAGAAAGUCCGAGCCUUAGAAACUAAUGGCACGUGGACGAUUGAAACGCUUUUCGAGGAUAAGAGACCCAUCGGAUGUAAAUAGAUGUACAAAAUUAAAUACAAGACGGACUGGAGUAUUGAACAAUAUAAAGCACACUUAAUCAUAAAAGGCUUCACACAAAUCGAAGGACUGAGUUUUCAUGAAACUUUUGUCUCAAUGGCUAAGAUGGUGAGCGUGCAUUGUCUCCUUGCGGUUGCACUUUCCAAAGGAUGAAAACUCCAUCAGAUUGAUGUAAAUAAUGUAUUUCUAUAUGAGGAGCUCCACGAAGAAGUCUAUAUGCAACUAUUGUCGGGAUUUACCUCGAUUGGGCAUAACAAGGUCUGCAGGCUCCGAAAGUCUUUAUAUGGCUUGAGACAAGCCUCCAGGAACUAAUUUUCUAAACUUUCCUCAACAUUAAAGAAUUACGAUUUUGUCCCAUCCAUGGCUGAUUAUUCUUUAUUCACCAACUCUAACGGCAGUACAUUUAUAGCUGUUUUAAUCUAUAUCGAUGAUCUCAUCUUAGCUGAAAAUGAUUCUCAAUACUUCUCUACUUUCAAACAGUAUCUCGAUCGAUGCUUUCACAUUAAAGAUCUCGAUCAUUUGAAGUACUUCCUGGGCAUUUAGGUGGCCCACUGCGACUCCUGCUUAUUUCUCUGUCAGUACAAAUAUGUUCUUGACAUUUUGACUGAAUGCGGCAUGCUCAUAGCUAAACCAUCUUCUUUUUCACUGGAGUAGCAACACAAGCUCUACGCCGACUCUGGAGCACCACUGACUGAUCCUGGCUAAUAGAGAUGCCUAGUGGGGUGUCUCAUUUAUCUGACAAUCACUAGAUCAGAGUUAUAUUAUUCAAUCCAUAUCUUGUCACAGUUUAUGCAAGAACCUCGAGAAUCACAUUGGGAUGCGGCCAUCCAAGCGCUCCAUUACUUGAAACACAACUCGGGCCAGGGGAUUCUUCUAAGACUUUCAUCACUUCAGCUCACUGCUUACUGCGACUCAGACUAGACAAGUUGCCCUAUGACUCGGAGGUCAUUGAUGGGUUACUUUGUUAUGCUCAAUAAUUGCCCCAUAUCAUGGAAAACAAAGAAACAAACAACAGUUUCUCAUUUGUCAAUAGAGACAGAAUAUCGUUCCAUGCCACAGCCACUAGUGAGCUAUUUUGAUUACGGAGUUUUCUAUCAUCCCUUAGCGUUGACCACACACAACCCAUACGAAUAUAUUGCGAUAAUCAAGCGGCCCUUCAUAUCACCGCCAAUCUCGUCUUUCAUGAAUGCAUAAAACACAUCAAGAUCGACUGUCAUUUCAUUCGUGAGCAUAUCCAAUCUAAGGCCAUCAUGCCUGCCCACGUCUCCACCAAGUACCAGUUAGCUGGAAUUUUCACAAAAGCACUUGGACAGGAUCAUUUUCAUUUUUUACUUUCCAAGUUGGGCAUUCUCGAUAUUCAUGCUCCAACUUGAGAGAGAGUAUUUGAAAAUACAAAACUGCCAUAUCUUCCAUAUUCGAAAAUACGGAGCUGCCAUAUCUAGAAAUACACAUCUGUCAUAUCCGCCAUAUUCAGAAAUAUAUAUUUGUAUAUAUUUGUACAAUCUGUCAUUUGGAUAAUAGCCAUAUUUUUAAUCCUGAUUUCUAGGCCACAAUCACAUUAUUGGCAGAUUAGUCAUUUUAGGAGAUUUAUCACCUCCUUGGCAGAUUAGUCAUUUGAGGAGAUUUAUUAUCCCCUUGACAGAUUAGUCAUUUUAGGAGAUUUGCUACCUUUCUUUGAGCCCUAAUUCAUAGCAAGUCUCUUGUAUAUAUUUUGAUAUAUUGGUCAUUGCAAAUCAAUGAGAAAGCAUCAAGUUCCAAAAUUUACAGAAACCACCAAUUUAACAGGCAUUCGAAUGCAACAACAUAAUCAUUUUGUUAUUGUCACAAUAGUUUCAUGCACUACCUAACCCCAUGCAUCAGGCGAAUUACUAUCAGAAUAUUAAAUAGGAAAAAACUUCUAUAGUCGGGCCGACCAUGGAAGGAAUUAUGGUCGGAUCGUGUCUGCCACAAUGCAUAUAUUGGGACAUCCAUCAAAAAAGAGACGAUUAUGUGAUGUUUAUCUAAACUGUUCAAACACCCCUGGGGUUUAUCCAUUUCUCUUUUCUUAAUAUUUUAACGCGCGGUGUAAGCACGCGCGACCACCCAUCUUUUAAUGGACGUUCCCGAAGCAUGUCCGACCAUAAUUUCUUCCAUAGUCGGCCCAACCAUAUAAGUUUUAUCCUAUUAAAUAAGCAAACUACAACGUUGUUAAUAUGUUUACGAAGCCAAAUAUAAAGAAAAAGCCAGAAAUAUCUUCCUGCAUGUCAAAGUGACCAAAAUUCUAUCCGAAAGAGGACAUGAUUUCAGCAUCACUGGAAUUUUGAAGCAAGCAAAUUUAUCCCGUCAAAACACGCUCGUGUUAAAAAAAUUAAAAAACAAAAACAAAAAUGUUAAGAAGAAAUUGAUACCUGAUCGACUUCGUCCCACCACCGGAACUCAGCCUCAAUCAUGUUCCGGAAGACAUUGUAGAGAAGUGUAGGAUAAAAGAGAAUCCUACCUCCCGCCCCAACCAGCGCCCUCUUCGCCUUGACCGGAACGAGUUCCCGGCCACCAGAAUCCUCAGAUCCCCCGUCCUCCAGUUCCGUGAUUCUCAUAAUAGGUUGUCCAAAAUCGAAGACUUAAAAGUCACGAUUCCUCCUCCAAAAUCGAUCCCAAUGGCGCAACAGCACCGGCAAGAAAAGGCGAUCCUUCUGGAACAAGAAUCCACCCAGAAAAUCUCUAAUCGUUGAAAUAGAAAGCCGACGUGAGGAAAGCCUCGUCCGACGAAGCCACGGCGAGACGAGCGCAACUCAAGAACCGAAAUCUAAACGGAUUGGAGAAGAAAUUACCUCGAUCGGGAGCUUGUCGAAAGCAAAUUCUUGUUCCGACCACGGAUUCUGGCGAUUCCACCGAAAAUCCACGGGAAAUUGGGGGGGAACUCUCGGAGAUCUCUCUCACUCUCCCUGGAAACCCUAUAGCCUCGGCUGGUCGGACGACAAGACCGACGAGAAACGAGGAAGCCGGCUGCCAAUAGGAGCCGUUUUAUAAACGCCGUUCCGUCUUUUCCAAAAUUAGGCCGAGACCAAAUGCUCCUACGGAACAGUAUAAUUAACAUAUACACUCCCCUCGGCAUUGCAGAAUUCAAUCUGGACCGUCUAUAAUUAUACAGUUGUAAUCAGGAACGCAAGGAUAACCUGUCUCGCGGGACAGGUGAAUGGAGCCUCUGAGUUUAAGGCCAAAUCUUGACCAAUGAGGGACGAUCUAAGGGCACACAAUGGUCUUUAGCGAACGUGGAGAGUCCAAAGCUUCCAGAUUAUCGCGUUAGCUCGGCCACCACGUCAGCUGUUACCUGGAGUUCUCUCGCGGUGAGGGGGUGGGCCAGCGUGUGGGGCCCCUUGUCGUCGACGCGUACGUCAGGUUGUGGAAAGAUGGAACCAUUCGGGUUCGUGGUUUUGCCAACUGGCCGUUGGUUGGGAACAGAAGGGGCCCACAGGCCACGGAUUAUGCCGCGGUGGGGCCACAAGAAAAAAAAAAAUCCUGUCAAAGUAACGGCCGUUAAAUUUCAUAAGGACAUUAGACAUAAUUUCUUUUGGAUACCGACGCAAACUUGCUUUCAAACUAAAAGCAUCUGUCGCUUUCGUCACUAUGCAAUGACGACAAAGCCAUCGUUGCCUAUCCGCGUCAUUUAUCUGUAGAAAUAAAACUUUUAAUUUUAAUGCGGCCUUUUUUUUAGCUUAAGAAUGGAUUUUAUUGGACCAAAUUUAACACUCGAACUGGACCGACUACUGUUAUAACGAAAAAAUAACAGUAUCUGAAGUUUGUUUUUUUGGACACAUCCUCAUUAUGUUGGGUCCCAGUUAUGGUCGAAGUCGUUGGCGUUGGGUUGGAUUGGCCCGUUCGAGGGCGAUGGUGGCCUUGGCGGGGAGGUUUCGGAUAAGGGGCCUGGGAAGGGACACGGACAACGACGCACCGGGACCGGUUUCACAGUCGUCGGACGAAUCGGCGAGCGGUGAAUCGCGAUGGGUUUCAAGUUUUGAAACAACUCCAUCUACUCUCUAACCAAAACAUAACUCCACCUACUUCACCUUUUACGACUGUAGAACGUGGUGGGCUCACAAACGGAGAUCCUCCACGACCCGUUAAAACAAUAUUAUCUACUUCCGCCAAGUGGAACCCACCUGGUUGUCCACGGUGCGGUCCUGUUUUUGUUAGGUAGUAGAGCAGUAUUCCCACAUGAUGCUACACUUACCCAUUGUUCUCAUCAGUCCGUCAAACAUGGCACCGGUCUUUACCCAAAUAUAUAUAUAAAUAUAUGGCGCUGGUGCACCACUCGAACUGAAUCUCACCGACUGGAUCCUGCCACGUUUGAAUGAUAAAAAUAUUUUACCAAGUAAUGCUGGACAUGACCACUUUGUUCUAGUGCUAGUGUGAGACUGAUGCGGUGUCCAAUUAUUUACCAACCUCCGUGAAUUGUGCCAACCCCGCAUGAAUCACACCGAUUGCAGUUGCCACAUUUGAGUGGUGAAUAGACCAGUGAAUAGUAGCAAUGUCUCGUCUUAACAUUACAAAUAGAAGAAGUACGGAUGAGAUUUCAUUGGAUAAUCUGUUUCAGAUCGGGGUCAUGUAUGAUGCGAUGGGGAAGGCAGAUCUUUUCCUGGGAAAGCAGUGCAUACACCAACUUUGUUUUAGGAUAUGUGGGGUUUGGAUAGGACUAUGGCAGCAUUUUUUAUUUUUUUUGGUGGUAGUUUUUUUUUCUUUUUUUUUUGUUGAUAUGUCAUUUUCCAGGGUAAGGAAGCAUACAUCGGCUCUAAAGGAUUGGAUGGAACUGGGGCCAUUUGUUUGACGAAAUUGAGUCCCGUGAAUUAUGCAUCACAUGGCUAUGCACAUUAUCCAUUAUAGUUGCUUGUUCCCACAGAUUUCAUUCAUCAAAUAUUCAUCUUGAUGUAUUGCCACAUAAAUGAGCAAUUAUGAUCGACAUCAUAUACGAACAUACCAUGCAUGCCGAUGUAGGAUGUAAUCUCUUAUUUGAUUGAGAGUAAUCUGACAUGAAAAAAUAAAUUUCAUAUUAAAUUAUCAUAUUUGGUGAGAAAAAUAUAUAAGAGAGAUGAUUAAAAAAAUGAUGGAUGUCAUAUUUAUUUUUUGAGAAAAGAUAAAAUAAAUAUCAUUAAUUAGAAGGUAAUAUUUUUUUUUCAUAUUGGAUUAACGAAUGGAACUAAUUUGAAAUUAUUAUUUCUUCAUAGAAAUACCCUCAAUUAUAUUAUGUAACUAUUAUAUAUAAUUAAUAUUAAUUAUAUUGAGAUAUAUAUAUUAUAUUAAUAUAUUAUUUAAUAAUUUUUAUAAAUAAUAACAUAUUUAAUACAAUAAUAUAUUUAUUAAUAAAUCUUAUUUAUUAAUAAAUAUUUAUUAAUUAUCAAUAAAUCUAACAUAGGAUUUACUAGUAAUUAAUAUUUUAUUUAUAUACCAAAAUAUAUAUAAUUUUUUUAUAACAAGAAACAUAUUUUUUCAUAUAUGUAUGAUUAAUUUUAAAAUAAUUUAUGUAAAUAUAUUUUAAUAUUCAAAAUAGCCAAUAUUGAUAAUAUUUAUAUAAGUAAGUUAUAGAUGGCCAAUACAUGGACCGAGAAAAAAAUGUUGUUGCUUGAAUUAUUUUUUUCAUGGCAUUAUAGAAAAUUUGAUAAUAUUUUCAUAUAAAAUUACCUUUAAGCAUAGUAAUUUUUUUUAAUGCUCUUUUCUAAAUAAUGUUUUCAAAAACCAAAUGUGGUAGAAUUUAUUCCCCUUGCAAUCAUUUUUUUAGAUAAAUUAUUUUCAAGAAUCAUCAAUUAUGCCAUAAUCUAAUAUACCCCAACCAAACGAAUCCUUUGAGUUAUAUUUUUAAGUUAGUCAUUAUGUUUUUGAUUAAUAAAAAAUUCUCUUCACAAUCACUAGUGAUUAAAAAAUUCUUGUCUUCUUAAUUAACUAGAGUUUCCUGCGAUGACAAAAGAGUGAUACCAACAAUGCUCCCAAGAAUGAUCAAGUGGAUGCUAUUUAUGCCCGUGACACUCAAACUAUUUGGGAUGCAUUUAAUUCAAAAUCAAAAUUAAAAUUGAAAUUGAAAUCGGAAUAGAUUGGAAUAGAAAUUGGGAUAGUCGUAUCUUUUGAUGCACUUGAUUCGUAAAUAAAAUUAGAAUCAAAAUUAAAAUAAGAUUUGAAUAUUAGUGGAGAGUAAAGACUGGGUUUUGAGGGUCUGGAGCAUUUUUAUUUUCCUUAGAAUUGGAACAGCAAUAGAACUCCAUCCAAUAGUUGGAAUGGGAGUUAUUUAUUCUAAUUCACAUUCUAGAGUUCAACUCCCCCAACCAGAUAAUCCUUUAUAGAGGGUGUUUAGUAUGGGAUGAUCCAUGAAGGAUCCAUGAUGAUUUAAGUGAAGGUGAUAAUCAUUGUAUUUGGUCGUACCCCACUGAUUUAUAUGGUAACGAUCCUAAAUCAUCUCUAACUCCUUAAAUCAUCAACUAAACCAAUAAUGGGAAACUCGUCCUCAAAGAUGGAUAUCCAAGAUUAUCCCAACACAAUGAUCUUAAGAUAAAAUAUUAGGAUAAUCUUGCUCUUCAUUUUAGUAGUUGAAUAUUGCCAAAUCUCGAUAUGCUAGACAUAAGAGACUUUAGAAAAAUAUCAUCUGAGAAAGAGCAUCCACAAGGAAGCACCAUUCAUGAGAUGUUUAGAUUCCUGUCUUAUUUAUUUCCUCUUCCCAUUUUUUUGACCGUAAUGAUCUUUUAAUUUUAUAAGGCAUUGAUUUCUUUAUUUCUUGAUAUUUUGACUUUUUAUUUUAUUAUAUAUAUAUAUAUAUAUAUAUAUAUAUUUGCUUGGGUCCACUUUGUCUUCUUGAACAUUGACAUCCAUGCAGAAAAUUGUAGUUUCUUCUUUUGUCUUAUAGAUCCACCUAUAUACUUGAGAUGCAUUGAUUUUUUUGUAUAAGAUCUAAGAUGCAAAGAUUUCUUUCGAUAGAUUCGUCAUAUGGAUCUAUCUAUCUCCAAAGAUAUUUUAUCAGGAUUCUUUGAGUAUAAAUUUUUUGGGGCUGUGUCCACUACCGGAUAUUGGCAUGGAGCAUGAUAUGACAGAAAAUAGUUUCAAGGAAAAGAAAGGGCAACACUGUCUCAGUUCAACCUAUGCACUCACGCGCGUACGCACACAGACACACACACAUAUAUGCUUUAUUUAAUAAUAAUAAUAGCUGUAUGGUAUAUUGCCUCACUUAUAACUCUAAAUUUACAUGUAAAAAAAAUAAUAAAAUAUUAAGAAUAUGUUGCAAAUAGUUGAUGCUGCGUGGAUUUAAUUUGAUCGGAAUUGACAUCAAUGUGAAUAUGUUUAAUCUAUCCAUUCCCAUCCCGUGUACGUUGAGCUUAGUUUUUCUUUCUAUCUUGCGCAACGCUAAAACCCAUGACAUUAGGNNNNNNNNNNNNNNNNNNNNUAUAUAUAUAUAUAUAUAUAUAUAUACACACACUCACACACACAUCACAUCAAGGAUCAAAAUGUAGUUUAAUUAUCUAAAAUUGUGGCAACUAAAAGUAGAGUCUAUAACAAAAUAACAAGACUAGACUGGAAAUGAGCUCCAACCAGAUGAACUUCAGAUUAGAUCAUGGGCUCGGUUUGAACAAUAUCAAAUUGAAUUUUGCUAUGAUGCUCUAAAAGAUAUUUUAAUUUUUUUAUCAUUUAUAUUUUUUUAGUCAUUGGAUUAAAUAUGAUCAUUCAGAUUUCAAUCGAUUAAAAUGCUCUUAUGCAAUAAAUAUUUCAAAAAUUAAAAAUAUUUCAAUAAUGAAAUGAUGGCAAAUUUCAUAAUUAAGUAAAACUAUUUUGUUUUCCAAAAAGCCUUCUUCAGCCAACGAAGGAGAAGGAACCAUAGGUGACAGGGGCAUGUACGGAGGGCAGAGAAGCUGCGGGCACUGGUAGGAAGGGGGGUAACUGCGGGUGGAGGAUUCAUGGGUAUGCGAGGGGGCGACUGAGCCACGAGUGGCUGGGGCGAAGGACCAAAGGUAGAGGAGCUACGGGCGGCCUGGGUGGGAGGGGGGUUAGGGGUUGACCACAAGCCAACGGGGGGCACGAAGAAGCCACGGGCACCAGAGGAUUGACCGUGGGCAGAGGAUCCAUGGGCACGUGGGGGUUGGACGAGCCGCGGGUGCCAGGGUGAACACGGGCGUGCACAAGGAGGACUAGGGGGUUGUGGACCAAGGGCGGAGGACCAACAGGCGUCGAGGGCAGAGGGAGGAGACCAUGAGCAGACGAGCUACAGGUGGGCAUGGGGCGCAGAGACGUCACCAAUGGGGGGAGACAGAGGAGCUGCAGGCAGAGGUCCGAGGGAAGGAGCCGCGGGCAGAGGAUUGCUUGGAGCAGCCGUGGUGGCACCUAGAAGGGGGUGGGCAUGGAGAAGCAGAGAGAGGUGGACUAGUGGAGGAGCCGCAGGGAAGAUAAAAGAAAGAAAAAAUAAAUAUAUAUUAUUUUUGAAAAUAAUAAUAAAAUAUAUAAAAUCCUAAUGUGUAAUGCCUACAUUAUCUUUUAUAAUAAAAUAUAAUAAAAAAGUAUUGUAGCAAAACUUAUAUCAGACUGGGUUUGGGCUUAAAUAUAGAACCUAUUUUUUUCGAACCGAGCUCAAGUGUAUAAUUGGUCUAGCCCAGGCCUAACUCGAGCCCGCAUCCAAAUUCAGGUCUGAUGCUAAGCCUGAAUUCAGGCUCGAGCUUGAGCACUUGGCUUAGUUUGAGCCAGCCCAAUUUUUUGACCUAAAUGGGUAAUUCAGGUUGGCCCAAUUGGUUUCAGGCUGGGCUUGAGCAUAGGCUCGGACUUGAUUUUUGCAAAAAAAAUUGGGCCUAAGUUCCAUCUAAAGCCCCUAAAAAAAUUUCAGACCAACUUGGAUAGGAGAAUGGCUCAAAUCAGCUCCGCUCGAUUUCAGCCUUGAAUACGACCAUUAUAAAAGCCAGUAUAUUUGCUUGUACUCUUAAUUCAUGAGAAUUAAGAAUACAUAACAAAUCCUCUUGGCAUAUACCAAAGGUAUUUGUGCUAUUAUACCGCUAAUAAUCUUAGAUUUUCAGGGUACACCAAAUAGGUUACUUAUGGAUAUCCGAAGAUCUUUAAUCACUGGAUCAUAACAUAUUAAUACUGUGAUCUUAGAUCAGUUGGGAUUAGCUUAUCUCAAGAUGAGAAUCCCUAAUGAUCUUAGAUCAUCAUAAUGAUCCCACCUAGAUAACCAAAUGCCCCUUUAAUAUAGUCGUUGGUAAUGAUUGCUCUAAUUUGGCCAUGAGUUGUAAUUUACUCAUUGCAUUAUUGUGAACUAGGAUAACAUGAUAUGUCAUUGAUUCUGGUUAUAGUCUUAUAUAUAGUUUGCAGAUUUAUCUCGUUUAUUAUCGGCACAAUGAAACAGUGUGCGUUUUCCUUCUGUUUGCUUAUUUUUUGAAGCAGAGUCUCCAAUCACUCCUUAAGAGGUGACAGAUGAGUCAAAAAAAUUUUUUGAGUCAAGAAUUGAGACCUAACUUUAAUUCCAUCAAUAGAGAUGAUUAUUACAUGGACCAUUUAGAUCAAUCAAUAUUCUGGAGCUGAUUAACCCAGCUUCUUACUUUCCUUCUUAGCCUACCCAUAACAACAACCAAGGAUUUUCUCAGGGUAGAACUUCAUUAACACCGGGUUGUCAUUCACAAUCAAGUGGACUAAAUAAGCAAUUGUUUUUUUGCCUUUUAUUGUUCUUCAUUUUAUUUGAAAUUUUUUUGUUGCGGCCAAUCUUCUGUCAUCCAUCAUCGGUGAAGAGCACCUACAAAACAAAGUCCUCUCAGAUCGAAAUUGUGUCCGAUGGAGACCCUCCGAUGCUUAAAUCAGUAGGGAGUUGGUGAACAACAGAUAAUGAGUAAUUGAAAUGGCAGGGUAUUAAUCCAGAAUUGUCUUAACCAUACUGCUCAUUUAUCCUUCCUUUUAUAGAUAAUUCUGAUAUAAUCAUCGAGCACGUGGUCCCGCUUUUUAUGGUGCUAAAUUAUCGAACCAUAAUCAUGAAGUUAAUUGGUUAUUUAUGCCCACUAAUGACUGUGACAUAUAGUCAAUAACUAUUUAUAAUGGUUAAAUAUGUUGAGGAGAAAAGCCAACUAUAUAUCGAUAAUAGUGAUAAGUCGGUAGUCCUGAAGAUCCGAAUGACCAUCGAUCGAUAACUCUGAUAUGCUAAUAGUCUUCGAUCGGAGGUUAACCGAAUUGUCCAUUGUUGGUUGAUAAUAGCCGACUGUCGGUCAGUAAACUGACUGUUAGUCGGAGUAAUGUGUUCUCAGGGCCAAUGUAGAGUCAGAGUCGAGGGUCGAUUAAAUUGUCCCAACAGUUGCCCCCCACUCUCAAGUCCAAGGUGGUCCAACGUAUAUAUUAUCACAUGGUCUGUCAUAUUGAACGAAGGGAGUCGCCACAUGUUACCUCGAGCCCCAAUUUGGCUGCUGGUCUUUAUAAUUUUUGGAAUAUGAGAGAUCUCGAUUGUUUUGCUGUUUCGAUAGCUGCAAAAUCAUCAUUGGACUGUCAUUUCAAUAAGAUAAUUCGACGCCCAGGACAUUCGGAUGAUUUGAUUCUGAUUAGUAGAUCUUGGUCACAUGUCCAAACACUAUUGGAUCGGAAUUGUUCAUGCGAAUAACGGUGAGGUGGCACGAUCAGGAGCAGGUGCAUCGAACCAUCCGACCAAUGAUCGGUCUGAAUGUUACCAUGUGUCGUCAUCUGAUGAGAUUCAGAUUUGAUCAAUUUCAUCCAAACCAUUGAGGGGUCUUAUAUAUAUGGGAUCGCUUUCAGUCGGACUUUUACUUUGCAUUUGUCACCAUCCUCUGCAGCGAAAGGUUCUAUCAGAAAGCUACCCUAGUGCUAGGAGCUCCAGGGUACCCCUUUUCUGCUUUAGAUCAAGUUUUCUUAUCUUCAUCCUUGAGUUCUUUUUCUCCCUUUAGGUUUUCGCUUUAGGAUUUUUUUCUCUAGUUUUCCAUCUUUAUGGCUAGGGCUUCUUCUUCUCGGGAUAGUCGAUCGAAGAAUCCGACCGAUGACUCUCUUUCGGAUCCAGAAAUGAAGGCUUUUUCCUUAUCCAGGCCCAAUGUUGAACGGCUCUGGAAGCAAUAUCGUAUCUUGGAGCAGUAUCAGCUCUUUGCCCCUAGCGUGGACAGUCGGAUUAACUCUCCUCCUCCAGGUCAGGUCACAUUUUAUGUCGAAGACCUUCAGACAUGUCUUCGAUUCUCGAUUUCGAAGUUCAUCCGAAAUUUUCUUGACUAUUUCGAUCUCUGUCCUGCUCAGCUGGCUCCGAACUCCAUCCGGCUAAUCAUCAGUUUUAUUUUGCUAUGUCGGCUCAUACUGAUUGAGCCUCGUCCUUCUUUCUUUCAAACUUUCUUUGUCCUUCAUCUUCAUCUUAAGGUCAAAGGUUGGUGGUUCUUCAAUCUGAGAAAAGAUCUUUCUUUCAUCACCGAUCUUCUAUCAUCACCGAUCUUCUAUCAUCCAUUCAUGGAUGGAAGAACUAAUUUUUUUUUAUUUCUUCUUCUUCUCUCUGGGGCUUUUUUUCGUGCUAGGGUGAUCCAAGGACCAGCCCCAACGAGAAUAGUCGGGUGGAGGUCGAUGAUCGAAAAGAUUUUCAUCGACUGAAGAACAUGACAGUUCCACCAUAGUGAGAGCUGAUGACCAAAUAAGCUCUCUAUGAUGUUGGACUUAGUUCGGUCACUUCUUUAGAUAUAACAUAAUCGGUUGUUUACUUUUUGCUUUUAUUUAUUUUUGAAUUGUACUGACUUUUUAUUCUGAUUACAGCUAUACAGCCGAGGAUACGAGUGUCGUCUGCCGACAUUCGUCAACACGCUACCAAGAAGAAGGAGCAUCUGAAGUUGGUCCUUCUCGACCGUCAAAGAAGUCGGGUCACCACUCCAUCUGUAUCAGUGAGGGAAUCCGAUAUUUUGUCGGAAUCAAUUUUCGAACCUAUUUUGACAUUGUCAGCCCCGAUAAUGCUUCUUGAAGCGUGAUCUGCUGAAGAUAGGACAGCGGGAGAGGAUAGAGCAGCAGCAGCACCAUCGAUAGCUCCAUCAGCAGAGGUUCGGAUCGGAGCGGAGGUCAUGGCUGAACCAGAACAGUCUACGACUGCACCAGUCAUUUUGAAAAUAGAACGUUCUCAGAUGCAGUCGAGCACUGACUUUUCUGUAUUCUCAAAUGUGGGGCUGUUGAUAGGAGAUCGGGGGAAGGCGUCGGUGACUUUGGUAGAUGAUGGAUCAUCGAUGGGCCAUCCUAUUCUUUUUGACAUCAAAAUUUUCGAGGGUGAAUCGGCCUUGACCAAUCCAGUAUUGGCCAAGCGGCUCAUCCAAGCUGCUCUUCUCUCGACUGAUCAAAAGAACAGGAAGGAUCGGACAUUAGCCAAGAUGUUUUCUUCUUUUUACCCGAUGAUACUCUGGAUAAGUUUUUCGACACCUCUUUUUCUUUUUUUUUGUCUGACUUGAUUUAUCUUCUGCUUUAAAUAGGUGCACGAUAUGCAUGAUCUGAAGGUCAGCUAUCGAAAGAUUGCCGACUUCCAUCGGUCAUGGAUGGAUAAGGUGGUGGCUGUCACUGCUAAAAAGAAUACCAUCGUCAAGCAACUUCAGGCAGUGACUGAACGGGAGAAAAAUCUUUAGGAGAUCUCCCGAAUGACAGCUGAACUUCAAUCCUCUAAGACUGAACUUGUGUCGGCUCAUCAUAGCAUCUCGUCCCUCGAGUCGCGAAUAAGGAGCAAGAAGCACUCCAUCCAUCAACUAUGAAAAGAGAGAGAUGGAUGCAUUGAUGAACUUGAAGCCGAACGUGGAAGGUAUCAGACCAUCCUGAAAAGGUUGGCACUGACUGAUGCUGAGUCGGCCUCCGUGAGAGCUGACAUGGAGUUGGCAAAAGCUGAACCAGAGUCGGUAAGGGAAGCUCUAAACUAAGCUGUCGAGAACUUCAAGAACUUGAAAGAGUUCGAGGAAGAAAUCAUCGAAAGUGGGUUCGCCUCUUACUGCAUCAGGUACGAGGAUGGCUGAGGUACGGUCAGAAAGUUGUACCCAAAUCUGAACUUAAGCAGCAUCAUUCCUCCUGCCCCGAAAGAUGAAGUUGCUGAAGAAGGGGCUGUGUUGACUGAAGAUGAAGCACCGACUGCACCAGAUGCUGUUCCAGUCACCGAAGCUGCACCGGAGCAAGGAGACAAAGACAACAACUGGUGAUCGGUGUAAUAUUUUCACUUUCUUUUUGUAAUCAGAGACUUUUAUAAUCGGACUUCAGUCUAAUUUUAUAAUUUUUUUUAAUGAAUAAAAAAAAAUUUCUAAGUGCAGAUUCUUUCUUUUCUUGUGUAUACUUUCAUUGUCGUAGAAUUAUAGUCGGACAGUCGAAUAUCGAUCGGUAUGUCGAAUAUUUGGUAGUAAUUGUAGAAUCUUCCGUUAGUCGAAUAUUAAUUGACAUAAUUAUCUUUUAGGUAUUAGGAUAAAUGGUAAUAAGCCGAAUAUCCUUUGACCGAUCGUGGUCGAGUUGGUAUGUCUAGUUAUCUAAUAAAUGGUGGCAAGUCGAAUAUCCUUUCACUGACCGUAGUCAAGUCGGUAUAGUUUCAAUUAAAUUUAGAUCGUAUUGGCAUAGUAUUCUGCUUAGUUAACACUAAGUCAGCAUAAAUAGUCGUUCGACUAGAGUCGAUUUUUACAGUGAAAAACCGAAAUAUAGUCAGUAUCGAGAUACAGUCGGUAUGUCAGUUUUUACAGUGAAAAUCAAGAUAUAGUCGAUGUGUUGGUUUUUACAAUAGAACAUUGAAAUAUAGUCAAUAGAAAUUGACAGUCCAUCUAUCGGUCUAUUAUCACUUUGUAGUUGGCCGAAACUUUUAUGAUUCUGAAAUUUAAUAUUUCAUUCUAAGAACUGUACACAUGAACAACUUUAUUGAUAAUACAUCUUUAAGUUGUCAGCAUUUCACAGUCGCGAAAUAGCUAUUCCCUCAAUGAUUUUCAGUCGAUAUGCGUCCGAUCUAAGUGUCUCAAUUAUUCUGUAAGAUUCUUCUCAAUUUAGAGAUAAUUUUUUUUAAUCCAGAGGUUUUGAAUUUUUUGCCUUUGUUAAGACCAGAUCUCCUGGAUGAAAGAUCUUCGACUUAACUUUUGAAUUAUAAUACCGAACUAUUUUUUGCCGAUAUACUGUCAUUCGAACUUGAGCUUGCUGUCGAACAUCUAAAAGUAAGUCUAGAUCGGCUCUCUGAUAGUUUGAAUUGCUCGACUCACUGUAUUGCUCCAUCCUUGCUAAUGGUAAUCCAAUCUCAAGUGGGAUCAUCGCUUCAAUUUCAUAAGCCAGAUUGAAUGGUGAUUUUCUCAUUGGUAUGCGAGGAGUCGUUCAAUAUGCCCAUAAAAUCAGAUAUAGCUCUUCCACUCAGAGACCUUUAGCUUCAUUCAGUCUGGUUUUAAGUCCAUUCAAGAUUAUUCAGUUCGUCACUUCUACUUUACUAUUGGAUUAUGGAUGGCCAACUGAUGUGAGUUUAUACGUAAUAUGUAAUUUCGCACAGAACUCUUUGAAAUUCUGAUUAUCGAGUUGUCAACCAUUAUCAGUGAUGAUGGUGUGUGAUAAAUGAAAUCUGCAUAUGAUUGAUUUUUGAAUAAAAUUUUUUAUCUUACUUUCAAUGAUUUAUGCUAGAGGUUUAGCUUCCAUCCAUUUAGUGAAGUAAUCAAUGACGACCACUAUGACUUUCUCUGAUCAGAUGUUGGAGGGAAAGGAUCAAGUAUGUCAAUUUUUCAUUGUGCGAAGGGCCAUGGUGCAACAAUUGAUGUCAACUGAUUGAUCGGUUAGUGUUGUAUAUUUACUAUUUCUGACAUAGUUUACACCUUCGGACAAGUUCAGUUGCAUCUUUCUUCAUGGUGGGCCAGUAAUAUCCUUAUCGUAAGACCUUAUAAGCCAAAGAUUUGCCCCCCAAAUGAUUUUCAUAAAUCUUUUCGUAAAUUUUUCUGAGUACAUAGUCGGCAUCUGUCGGUCUUAAACACUUCAGUAAGAGAAGAAAGAAUGACCUCUUAUAUAGUCGACCAUUCAUCAAAAUAUAUUACGAGGUCGCUCAUCUGAGUCGUUUGGCUUCUGAGAGAUCUGCAGGUAGAGUUUCAUUAGUCAAGUACUAGAUAAUCGGAUCCAUCCAACUUGGUUCGUCAUUAAUCUGUAGCACUUCUUUGAUUUUAUCAAUACUCGAUUGUUCAAGAUAUUCGACAAAUAUCCGAUCCAACGAGUUGAAAGAAGUGAUUGUGAGUCAUGAAAGUGAGUUGGCUCGAGCAUUUUCUGCUCUUGAGAUGUGAAAGAUCUCAAAAUACUUUAAAGUGAACGUAAGAUCUUUCACCUUCUAAAGAUACUUCAUCAUAACAGGGUCACAAACUUCAAAUUCAUCCUUGACCUAUUUAAUAAUCAAUUGUGAGUCGGUGAAGACCUUCAGAUUAUCGAUGCCAAGCUCUUUGGUAAUCUUCAAGCCGGCCAAGAAUGCUUCAUAUUCGGCUUGAUUAUUCGAAGUUUUAAAAUUAAAUCAAAGAGUAUAUUCAGUUAUGACCCCUUUAGAAUUGGUGAGGAUGAGAUCAGCUCCACUGCCUUAUGCAUUAGAUAUCCCAUCAAUAUAUAGCACCCAUACCGAUGUUAAGUCGGGCUCGAGAGUUGUAGCUUCCUUUAUUUGUCAUUAGCUUCAUCCUUGAGAUUAUUAUCAGAUAUAGUACAUUCGGCGAUGAAGUCGGUCAAAACUUGCACCUUCAUUGAUGGACGUGGGCGAUAUUGGAUGUCAAACUCAUUGAGUUUUAUUGUCCACUUUACCAUUCGACCUGAAAUAUUAGAUCGAUAUAAAAUUAUUUUCAAUGACUGAUCUAUCAAGACGAUAAUAGGAUGUGCUUGAAAAUAUGGGCAAAGUCGCUGUGAUGAUAUGAUUAGAGCAUAGAUCAUCUUCUUCACUCUUGAAUAUCUUAAUUCGAUAUUGCGAAAUACCUUGCUAGUAUAGUAGAUAGGCCAUUGGAUUCGAUUCUCAUCCUUUUGGACAAGUACUGAAUUACUGUCUCUGUCGAAGUAACCAAGUAAAGAUACAAAGUUUCUCCGAUCUUUGAUUUUGUGAGUAGUGGUGGAGAUGUCAAAUAUCAUUUUAGAUCUUUGAAGGAUUGUCAACACUCAUCUGACUAUAUGAAGUCGUUUGAUUGUCUCAAGAUAUUAAAGAAGGACAAGCAUCUUUCUGCCGACCUUGAUAUGAAUCGGCUGAAUGUAGCGAUCCUUCUAUUAAGCUAUUGUAUCUCUUUCUUGAAGCUUAAAUGCUUCAUAUUGAUGAUAGCCUUUAUUUUUUUGAGAUUAGUCUCGAUUCCUCAUUGUGACAUAAGAAAUUCAAAAAAAAUUUAAAAGUUACUCCGAAUGUACACUUAGUCAGAUUUAACUUCAUCUGAUGUCGAAGUGUGCUGAAGGCUUCUUCCAGAUCCCAAACAUGAUCAGUAGUUUGAGAGAUUUUCACCAGUAUGUCAUCUACAUAAACUUUCAUAUUUCGUCCGACCUAUGUCUUGAAGAUUUUGUUGACUAGUCGUUGGUAAGUUGCAUCGAUAUUUUUUAAAUCGAAAGAUAUUACUUUAUAACAGUAGAUACCUUUAUCGGUUACGAAGGCUAUAUACUUCUCAUCUUCGGAUGCCAUCUGAAUCUGAUUGUAGCCUGCAAAGAUAUCCAUGAAGCUUAAGAGUCGGUGUUCCAAAGUUGCAUCAACUAGUUGAUCAAUUUUUGAUAAGAAAAAACUGUCCUUCGGACAAGCUUCAUUUAGAUUUAUAUAGUCGAUGUAGAUUCUCUAUUUUUUAUUAACUUUUCUCACCAUCACUAUAUUGGCAAGUCAAUCGGGAUAAGUAGCUUCUCUGAUGAAGCCAGCUGCGAGGAGUUUGCCAAUUUUUUCAUCGAUGACCUUCUGCUUUUCAAGAGUAAAAGAUCUUUUCUUUUGUCUCACCGGCUUAAUCUUUAGAUCAAUGUUUAGCUAGUGGGUUAUUACCUUCGGAGGAAUGUCUGACAUGUCAAUAGCUGAUCAAGUAAAAAUAUCGACGUUUAUUCUGAGUAGAUUUAUUAGUUGCUGCCACUUCGGAUCAAAUAGCUGUGAUCCAAUUUGAACCAUCUUCUCGAGAUCUUCUUCUUUUAGUAGGAUAGAAAUCAGUUGCUCGGCUGGUUCAUCCCUUUUUUCAUUCUCUCUUUGAUCCAAUUUAUUAAUAGAUAAAGAGUUUUCAAGUUGAUUAUUUUAUGUGAAAAUCAAAAAGCAGUGUCGGAUAAGUUAUUGAUCUCCAUGCAUCUCUCUGACUUCAUUUCUUAUCGAAAAUCAGACUAGUAGAUGAUAAGUCGAGACUACUGCUCUCAAAGCAUUAACUCCAGAUCGUCCGAGUAUGGCAUUAUAAGUCGAAGAAACUCAAACAACCAUGAAUAUUAAGAGAAUAGUACUCUGUUGUGGAUCUAUUUCGACAGUUAGUGGGAGAGUAAUUUCUCCUUCCACGAUAACCACGUUCCUAGUGAAACUGACUAAUAGCGUCGAGACUCUCCUAAGUCGAUCAAUCGAUAGUCAUAUUUGAGAGAAAAUCAAGUAAAACAAAACAUCUAUUGAGCUUCUAUUAUCCACUAAUUUUUUUUUACAUCAUAAUUUACUAUCGUUGCUGAGAUAACGACAGCAUCAUCAUAGGGAGUUUGGAUUCUUCGAACAUCUUCUUUCAAAAAAGUAAUUACAUUGUCGAGUCAUCGCUUCUUUAUCGACUCUUCUUCAGAAGUUGCCCUCCAAUUUUUCUCAUUCGGAGAUCAUGUUAAUUACUCUUGUCGUUGGUCGAUUGUUGAGUGUCUCCUCAACUUGCAGCUGAGAUUGUUGAUCGGUGGAAGGUUGAGUCAGGUGAUCAUGUCGAAAUUUUUCAAGAUAGUCUCAUCGAAUCAGGGCCUCUAUCUCAUCCUUGAGCUGGAUACACUGUUCGGUAUCAUGACCAUGAUCACGAUGGAACCGACAGUACUUCUUCCUGUUUUGGCUCCUCGAUGGUGCUUUUAUUGGUAGGGGAUGUCGUAAGUACUCUUCUCCUUUGAUUUCCAUCAAAAUCUGCUAAUGAAGAGUAGAAAGAGGAGUAUAGGAGUCAUACCUGUCAUAGUUAUUCGGCUUCGGAUUUCAUCAUUGAGAUAAAGCUUGCUUAUUGAUAGUCGGCCUACUUGAUUCGGUCGGAGCUUCACUUUUUUUUGUUUCUUCUUUUGACCUUUUUCGUCUGUUUGACGUCGGUCAGAAGCAGCUUCAUCCAUGCGAAUGUAUUUGUAUAUGCAUUCUAAAAGUUUAUCAUAGAUCUAAGAAAGAGUCUUGUCUAGAGAGUAGACGAAUCUCGAUCCCCUCAGAUCCCUCUUCAUGGCCGAUAUGGCCAUAUCUUCAUUGAGGUCUCUGAUAUCAAGUGUGGCUGCAUUGAAACGAGCCAUAAAGUCUCUCAACAUCUCUGUCUCACCUUGCUUGAUAGAGAAGAGAUUCUCUAAUGUCCGUGGCGGUCUUCGGUUAGUGCUGAAGUGGGUCACGAAGGAAUGCUCUAGCUGUUCGAAAGAGUUAAUAUUUUUCGACUGAAGUCUGAAAUACCAAACUCGAGCAGCCUUCCGAAGAAUUGUCAGGAAGCCAAUGCAUAAGAGGACGUCAGUUGCCCUUUGGAUCAUCAUGAGAGUCGGUGGAGCCGUCAUAUGGCUCCAUCUGCGGUAUCUUGAACUGAGAGAGAAUCGGUUCAUCCAGAAUGCAUCGAGAGAGAGGCUAGACAGUGUGAAAGUCAUAGUCGUUGGAGAACUUUCGAUCUUCUACCUGAAGUUGAGCAAGCUGACGAUUAAUCUCUUUGAAUUUACGUUUAUAGUCGUCAAGCCGCUGCUGUUGAAAAAUUUCAGGGGUAGAACCCCCUGAAGAGCUCGAAGAGGAAGAAGUAGGAGUCCGCAGCCAUUUUUCUUUCCUGAUACUGUAUACACGAGAAAAAGAAGAAGAACGUCAUGAAUAAUGGGUGGCACAGUGGGAGUACCAAAAAUAUAGUUAUCCAUCUCGAUGAGAAUGUCGAGACGAUCACCGCUCUAAAGAUGAAGAAGGCGAGCGCUGUGAUGGACAACGACUGUGCCUAGAUGGCACUGACUGAGCUAUCGGCUGCUCUACCGAUGGCUGCUACUGCUGCUGGAGGUUUUGAACCACCUCCGUUAAUAUUUUUAUUUACUGCAUGAGUGCAGCAAUCUGUGCGUCUAUGGUGACCACAGGAUGCGAAUUACUGAGCUCUGCCACUGAAGGUGGGGGAGGAAUAUCUUUCCGAUGGAAAGACUGCCUCGCCGAUCCAGUCGAGUAUUGAGCUCUGAUUUUCGGUAUGGUUGAUUGUAGUAUCCCCCUACCUGGUGUGCUAAUCUGUUGUGGUUAAUCCUCUGUCACAUGUCGCCCACAAAGAGCAUCUGCAAAAUAAAGUCCUCUCAGACCGAAAUUAUGUCCGACGAAGAUCCUUCGAUGCUUAAGUCAGCGGGGAGUUGGUGAACAGCAGAUAAUGAGUAAUUGAAAUGGUAGGGUAUUAGCCCAGAAUUAUUUUACCCAUACUGCUCAUUUACCUCCCCUUUUAUAGAUGAUUCUGAUGUAACGGUCGAGCAUGUGGUCUCACUUUUUAUGAUGCUAAAUUAUCAGACUAUAAUCAUGGAGUUAAUGGAUUAUUUAUGUCCAUUAAUGACCGCGACACGUAGUCGAUAAUCGUUUAUAACGGUUAAAUGUGUUGAGGAGAUAAGCCGACUAUAUGUCGGUAAUAGCGGUGAGUCGGUAGUUCUGGAGAUCUGAAUGACCAUCGGUCGGUAACUCUGAUAUGUCAAUGGUCUUUGGUCGGAGGUUAACCAAGUUGUCCAUUGUUGGUUGAUAAUAGCCGACUGUCGAUCGGUAGACUGAUUGUUAGUCGAAGUAAUGUAUUCUCGGGGCCAAUAUAAAGUAGGAGUCGGGGGUCGGUUGAAUUGUCCCAACACCUUUCAAAUUUAUGGUACAAAAUAAGAAGCCACAAAAAAAAAGAAAAGAAAAAUAGGAUCUUAAACUAGCAUGGAAAUGAAAAAUUUUGCUCAAAAAAGACUUGAAACUAAGAACAUGAAUACCGAUGGAACUUCAAGAUUUUUUAUAGUGAUGAAGUCACGAAGACAUCUUUGUGAUCAACCCUUUCCAAGAAUUGUAUAGUUUGUGGCUUUGUUCAUGGUGUAUUAUGCCGUAUAGUGGAAGCAUUGGACUUACGCAUACCUUAAAAAUUACGAAGGACUCUGGCCUAAUGUUCUAAUCAAGAAGGAAAUUACUCCACAAACAUUUUUCUCACAAUAUAUUUUCGCUCUCACUCCACAGCUCCACUUCCGAUUGUUUUCACUGAUGUAAUCCUAGCCAAACCUUUUAUCAUUCUCAACAAACACAAAUUAUUUCUAAGAUGCCAAUUAGUUUCAUCAGAGCAGGGUAAUCCAAUAAAGCUUGCACCAAAAAUUUUUCCUAGUACUAGUUCAGAUUUUUCUGAUUGUCAUGAUCAAAUAAACCACUAAUAAUUGCACAUUAUUGGACGUACUCUUUCUCAUGUUUUCCUCCUUUUACUCCUUUCUUCUUCCACAAAAUCGUUAGAGGGAUACUGAGAUGGAAGCAUCAGUGGAAACUUGGAAGAGCCGCAAAUGGAGAGACCAGAACCGCCUCAAGAAGAAGCUGGAACAAAACAAAGCACAGUUCCAUGAAAAAGGCGUGGAACAGGCAAAGAUAAAAAUAUUGUACAUUUAGGUGCGAAUGGAAGAAAAAAAAAGGAAUAGAAAUUGGAAAAAAAAAAGAACAUGGGACAUGACCAUAGAAAAUAUUUUACAGGAAGCCAUGGCAGAACAAUGAAGUAUAUAGCUUUUCUUACCUUAGCUUUUCCAUUGCCGCCUGUGUUGCAUAUGUAAGUUCAAAUGAGGACCACCUGUAAUAACCCAGCCAUUUGGGAGGAAGCCAUAUGUAAUAACCCGCUGGGAGUCUUCUUCUACCCAAAUCACCGGAGGAGAAGUCGAAUUCGAGGGGGAUUUGACCUCCUCUCCACUCUAUAAGACCCCCUCUCUCCCUCCUAAAUAACUCAUGAUGAUCACCAGUCUCUCUCUCUCCUUUCUCCUUGAUUUCUUCCAUUGAAGCUGUGACCUUCCGUACUCGUGCUCGUCAGAAAUUGGAGCUGACGAUGCUGCUGAAGCUUGAGGAAAGCCCUUCUCCUCCUUCCUCUCUUCUUUCUCCUCCUUCCCAUGGCUUCGUCGACCCUCGCCGGCCAUCGGGAUCGUCGAAAAAUUGAUGAAAAGGUGAAUCCCUAUUUUGCUCUGUCUGGUCGAACCCUUUUGCUCCUCUUUUUCGACCACCGGCGCCGUCAGUUAUGGCGUCUCACCCCUAGGAUAGGAUCCUCAUCCUUUUAUCUCUCUUCUCUGAAGGUAUUGGCCGUCGGUGACCGACCAAUGAUCAAAAAUAAAAAAAAAUGGCAGUACCCUAUUUUUUCAAUUUUUCUUAAUUUCUUGUCGGCCGAACCUUGCCGCCGGCCAUCUCUUGCCUCACUGCCGUUGAUCGUCACUGUCGGACAUCCGGCCAAGCCGCCCCUCGCCAGAGCCAAGCCAUCGAGUCUCCUUUGGUCCAUCCUCUGUUCGGUCGGGAAGAGAAAGAAGAAAAGAAAAAAAAGAAAGAAGAAGAAAAGAAAAGAAAAAGAAAAGAAAAAGAAAAAGAAAAAGAAGAAGAGAAAAAGAAAAGAAAAGAGAAAAGAAAAAGAAAAGAAANNNNNNNNNNNNNNNNNNNNNNNNNNNNNNNNNNNNNNNNNNNNNNNNNNNNNNNNNNNNNNNNNNNNNNNNNNNNNNNNNNNNNNNNNNNNNNNNNNNNNNNNNNNNNNNNNNNNNNNNNNNNNNNNNNNNNNNNNNNNNNNNNNNNNNNNNNNNNNNNNNNNNNNNNNNNNNNNNNNNNNNNNNNNNNNNNNNNNNNNNNNNNNNNNNNNNNNNNNNNNNNNNNNNNNNNNNNNNNNNNNNNNNNNNNNNNNNNNNNNNNNNNNNNNNNNNNNNNNNNNNNNNNNNNNNNNNNNNNNNNNNNNNNNNNNNNNNNNNNNNNNNNNNNNNNNNNNNNNNNNNNNNNNNNNNNNNNNNNNNNNNNNNNNNNNNNNNNNNNNNNNNNNNNNNNNNNNNNNNNNNNNNNNNNNNNNNNNNNNNNNNNNNNNNNNNNNNNNNNNNNNNNNNNNNNNNNNNNNNNNNNNNNNNNNNNNNNNNNNNNNNNNNNNNNNNNNNNNNNNNNNNNNNNNNNNNNNNNNNNNNNNNNNNNNNNNNNNNNNNNNNNNNNNNNNNNNNNNNNNNNNNNNGUCUCUCUUCUUACCUCCUUUCUUUCUUCUCUCUUUACCUUUCUCUCUCCAACUUGUCGCUCUAGAUUCUCUCUCUAUUUUUUUUCUAAAAUUUUCUCUCUCUAAGGUCUUUCUAUUAUCUUUCUAGUUUCAUCACAGACCUUAAGAUAAAUUUGAGAUAAAAAUAAGAUGAUCUGAAAUCAUUUCGAAAUUCGUGCAGUAGAUUGGAUCCCAAUCCGAUCUUUAUUUGAAAUUUAUAGCAUCUGAUCAUAGUUAAUUCAUAUUGAAUCAUCUUGAUAUGAUCUUCGAUGAUCUCAAUCAUGAUUACCUUAUUUGAAAGAUACGAAGAUUCUCUCUCCACUUUCUCUCUCUAAAAUUUUCUCUCUCUUCAUGAAUUUUCUCUCUCUAAAAGUCUUGUGGACCAAUGGAGGGUCCAGAUACUUAGACAAAUCUCAAUUUUGGUUAAUCCUAGGAGAGGUUCUGGAUUUAUGUUAUAAGGAUCGUUUAUCUAUAAUUCUUUAUAUAUUAUUUUUAUGCUUAACUCUGAUCAUGUAGAGAUGUAAUUGUUGUACAAAAAGAUAUGAAGCAAAAUAUCUUGAUUUUGGAUACAUAGAUUGAGAAGGUCAUCAAUUUCUGUAUUUAGAUCAGUCAUCGAUAAAGGUAAAAAUCUCUGUACAUGAUCAUAAUUAUAUAUGCUAUUUUAUCGUUGGUCUUGCAUCAUUGAUUUUGCAUCGUUGGAUUUGAGAUCAAUGAAUUGCUAUGCUUGAGACACCGUUAUUUGCUUAUAUAAUUUUUAAGCAUGAGUAUGGGUUAUGUCAAUAUAUAUGUAUUCAUGAUUGAUGGCAUGAUUAUAUGAGCAUAAUAUAUCUAUUUUGAUUAUAUUGUAAAUCGAAAUUAAUUUGAUGAAAUCAACAUAUAACAAUUAAAUGAAAAAGAUAUGGUUUGGACUCGCCUCGUUAUGUGGGACAGCCCGCCAGGAGCUCAUACCUGGGACAGCUUGUUAGGAGCUUAUGCCUGGGAUAGCUUGCCAGGAGCUUAUGCUUGGGACAGCCCCAUGGGCUUAUACGUGGAUCAGCCGGCCAGGAGGUUAUGCCUGUGACAGUCCGUCAGAAGCUUAUGCUUGGGACAGCCUGUCAGGAGCUCAUGCCUGGGACAGCUGUGAAAGGCUUAUAAGUGAAAAUUUGAUCGGAUGAAGAUUGAGGCAUAGUCUUGGAUAGUCCAAAACCAGAAAGAAAAAUGUUAAAGAUCAUGUGAUUAUGAAAAGAGAAAUAGAAGACAAGACAUGAAACAAAUACUGAAUAAAAGUCUUUCACCAUUAACAUAUGAUGAUGCAUCUUUUUUGAUAAGAUAGAUAAUUUAUGGAUAUUUGCAGUAUUCUAGAUAUUGAAUAUGAGAUUUUAUAUUUUAUUGCUUAUCUUUAUUUUCAGAUCAUAUUAUUAUAUUGGUGUGAUAUAGGAAUUCUUACUGGGCUGUAAAGCUCACACUCCAUCUUUUUUUUUCUUUUAGAGUUACAGGAUAUUCAUGAUUAGCUAGGGCAUGGAUUUGUGAGUGAGCAGAUGUAUAGAUAGAGUGUCAUGAUACCUGAUUAGAGGAUUGAAAAAAUUUUAUUUAUAAUUAUACAAGUUUUACUAAUUAUUAUUGGAAUCAUAUAUUAUAGAUGUUGAGGUUGUAAUGAAUUACUUUUAGCCUUGCAUAUUCUUUAGGACUUGCUCUAAAGAGUGUGCGGCCAUCACGUAUCCGACCCGGGUGUUGGGUUUGAGGCGUGACAGAGUAGUAUCAAAGCUUAGGUUAUGAUCAUUUGGGGACUAUGAUACAAGUGAUUAGGAUAUGACAGAAUAAUAUCAGAGCUUAAGUUUAAGAUCACUAGGAACUGUGACAUAAGUGAUAUCAAAACUCUGGAAUUAUAAUCAAUAGAGUAUGAUAGAUAAUAUCAGAGUUUAAGAUUAUGAUCAUUAAAGAUGUGAUAGAAUGAUAUUAGAGUAUAGGUUAUGAUUACUAGAGAAUAUGAUUUAAAUAGUAUUUGAUCUUAAGAUUAUAAUUAUUCAAAAUUGUGACCUUUGUGAUAUUUGAACUUGAGGCUAUGAUCAUGAGGAAUAGGAUAGAUAUAAAAGAAAAGAUUCAAUAAUUUAAUUUCGAAUCAAUAGAUACUAUGAUGAAAUUUAUGCAUAAGUGGCAUAUGAUGUCUAUAAUAAAAUUAACGGGUUAUAUCUUGGAUUUCAAUUAGUAGGGUUGACUUGAGUAUGAGAAAUGUUAACCUUGAAAUGAAGUGCGAGGUAUUGAUAUGUUAUGUUGAGUAUACUCAAUAAUUUUUAAAUGCGAAACUUAUAUGAGUGAAGGUCAUGAUAAUUUUUUUAAUUUUGAUGUUAAUUUUUUGAGCAUUAUAAAAUUUUUAGAUUUAUCAGAAGGAAGUUAGUUAGGAUGUGGUCUAAGAAGAAAUUACAUCAUAUAAGAGAGAAAUAUUUUUGAGCAUUGAACCUAUAAGAGGUCAUAUGUGAAACUCAGUUUUAGAUGAAAAAUAUAUUUAGAUUUUAUUAUGAGAAUAUGGAAUAUACAUCUUGGUGAAAUUUAGUUGUUCAAAAUAUCAUAUUUGGAUAUGAUUUCUUAAUCUUUCAAGUUGCAUUAAAUUUUAAGUCAAAGAUUUGAUUUUCUAAGUAGAUCAAGAUUUAAUUUUGAUGUGCUAUACCCAAGGAGCCAUAAAGAUAAAGAAACUUAAAGCUUUACUCUAAGAUCUAUAUAAAAAUUUGAAGGUUUGACCUAUCUUUGAUUGAUCUAAUAUACAAUGAUAUCUUUCGAUAAAUUCAUACAAUUUGGUAAAUUAAGAUCGGAGUGUGCAGCAAAAGUAUGGUGGUUUAAAUUGAUUAGAAAUAUUAAUCUUUUAAAUCAAAAGAUAUUAUGGAAUACAUUAGUUGAAAAUAAGGAAGGAUUUUAUUGAUAGUGGAAGAAUGCUAUUGAUAUUUUUGACCUAAUCUGAUCAUUGUCGGGCAAUUUUUGCUAGUAGGUUAUUUCAUUGCAGAUAAUACCAAGAAACCCUAUAUAUAUAUCUCAAGGCUUACUGUUAAUAGCUUGAUAAUUCUUUGUUAGCGCAAAUCUAAAAUAUCUUGACAUAGAUCUCAUAUUUUCGAAAUUUAACAUUGUUACUCGAACUGAUAUAGAAGAUUGAGAUUUUCUUAAGAUGAAAGUCUAUCUGUUAAAUUUGUUGAAAGGUCAAAAGAAGAAAGAAAUUGAUGAUUUUGAAGAGUGCUCGAUGUUCAGCCUUUGUUUAUUUUUCUAUCAUAGGCAGUCUGAGAUAAUUAUAAAUUUUGAGUGAAAUAUAUUGGAUAAAUAAUUAUGGUAUGUUAAUACAAGUCUAAAAUAUUACAGCUCUUCGAAAAAGUUGAGAAAUCAAAAAAAAAGGAGGGGGGGAUGAGUUUGAGAUUUCAAAAAAAUUUUGUUAUAACAAGAUCAUAAGAAAUAAAUAAUAUGUAAGACGUUAUCGGAAGCGUGAGAAUGACAUGAUAAAUGUAUAUUUUUAAUUAUAUAUCUCUAACAAUAUAACUUAAUUUCAAAGAAAAAAUUAUUUUAAGGAGGAGAGAAUGUAACAAUCCGACCAUUUGGGCUCUGGACCGAGCCCAACCUUAAAGCCCAAUUUUGAAAAAAAAAAGAAUGGAACGAAGAAGACUCCCGCCAGGAGUCUUCUUCCACCCAAAUCACCGGAGAAGUCGAAUCCGAGGGGGAUUCGAACUCCCCUCCACUCUAUAAGACCUCCUCUCUCCCUCCUAAAUAGCCCAUGAUGAUCAUCGGUCUCUCUCUCUCUCCUUUCGCCUUGAUUUCUUCUGUUGAAGCUGUGACCUCCCGUACUCGUGCUCAUCAGAAAUUGGAGCGACGACACUGCUGAAGUUUGAGGUAAGCCCUUCUCCUCCUUCCUCUCUUCCUUCUCCUCCUCUCUAUAGCUCUGUCAACCCUCAUUGAUCGUCGGGAUCAUCGAAAAAUUCAUAAAAAGGUGAACCCCUAUUUUGCUCUAUUUGGUCGAAUCCUUUUCCUCCUCUUUUUCGACCAUCGGCACUGCCGAUUGCGACGUCUCAUCCUUAGGAUAGGACCCUCAUCCCUUUAUCUCUCUUCUCUGAAGAUAUUGGCCGUCGGUGAUCGAUCAAUGAUCGAAAAAUAAAAGAAAAAUGAUGGUACCCUAUUUUUUAGAUUUUUCUUGAUUUCUUGUCGGUCGAACCUUACCGCUGGCCAUCUCCUACCUCACCGUCAGCUACCAUCACUACCGAACAUCCGACCAAGCCACCCCUCGUCAGAGCCAAGCCAUUGAGUCCCCCUUGGUCCAUCCUCUGUUCGGUCGAGAAGAGAAAGAAGAAAAGGAAAAGAAAGAAAGAAGAAGAAGAAGAAAAAANNNNNNNNNNNNNNNNNNNNNNNNNNNNNNNNNNNNNNNNNNNNNNNNNNNNNNNNNNNNNNNNNNNNNNNNNNNNNNNNNNNNNNNNNNNNNNNNNNNNNNNNNNNNNNNNNNNNNNNNNNNNNNNNNNNNNNNNNNNNNNNNNNNNNNNNNNNNNNNNNNNNNNNNNNNNNNNNNNNNNNNNNNNNNNNNNNNNNNNNNNNNNNNNNNNNNNNNNNNNNNNNNNNNNNNNNNNNNNNNNNNNNNNNNNNNNNNNNNNNNNNNNNNNNNNNNNNNNNNNNNNNNNNNNAAGAAGAGAAAAAGAAAAAUAAAAAGAAAAGAAAAAGAAGAAAAAGAAAAAAAUAGAAAAAAUAGAAAAUAAAAAGAACGAGAGAAUUUUCUCUCUCUCCUCUCCCUCCUUUCUCUCUUCUCUCUCUACCUUUCUCUCUCUAGCUUGUCUCUCUAGAUUCUCUCUCUACUUUUUCUCUCUAGGGUCUUUCUAUUCUCUCUCUAGUUUCAUCACGAAUUCUAGGAUAAAUUUGAGAUAAAAAUAAGAUGAUUUGAAAUCAUUUCGAAAUUCAUGCAGCAGGUUGGAUCCC
rnacentral:lncRNA from 1 species